GGCGGACGGGUGAGUAACACGUGGGCAACCUGCCCUGCAGAUUGGGAUAACUCCGCGAAACCGGGGCUAAUACCGAAUAAUAUCGAGGAUUUCAUGAUCUUCUUUUGAAAGAUGGCUUCGGCUGUCACUGCAGGAUGGGCCCGCGGCGCAUUAGCUAGUUGCAGAGGUAACGGCUCACCAAGGCGACGAUGCGUAGCCGACCUGAGAGGGUGAUCGGCCACACUGGGACUGAGACACGGCCCACACUCCUACGGGAGGCAGCAGUAGGGAAUCUUCCGCAAUGGACGAAAGUCUGACGGAGCAACGCCGCGUGAGUGAUGAAGGUUUUCCGAUCGUAAAACUCUGUUGUCAGGGAAGAACACGUACGGGAGUAACUGUCCGUACCUUGACGGUACCUGACCAGAAAGCCACGGCUAACUACGUGCCAGCAGCCGCGGUAAUACGUAGCUCGCAAGCGUUGUCCGGAAUUAUUGGGCGUAAAGCGCGCGCAGGCGGUCUUUUAAGUCUGAUGUGAAAGCCCACGGCUCAACCGUGGAAGGUCAUUGGAAACUGGAAGACUUGAGUGCAGAAGAGAAGAGCGGAAUUCCACGUGUUGCGGUGUAAUGCGUAGAGAUCUGGAGGAACACCAGUGGCGAAGGCGGCUCU
rnacentral:rRNA from 1 species